GUCUCACUAUGUAUAGCUCAGUUGGUUAGAGUGUGGUGCUAAUAACGCCAAGGUUGCAGGUUCGAUCCCUGUAUGGGACA